UGACGACAGUCUCCCCUUCAGCUAUGGCCAGUCCCAAUGUCCCAGGCCCGGGUCUCCCCUCCCAGGCUGUGUUGGACGGGGGAGCUGAGGCGGUGGCCGGGCCCUGUCUGAGGAAGAGGGUGGGGCGUGGACUAACGCUGACCAAUAAGAGAGAAGGAAGCUACGAUUGGCGGUGAUGAGCACUAAUGGGAGAUCGUCUUUACCUUAUGGAGUGCCGCCCCUCUUCUCUCCCUCCUCCCGCCUCCUUCCUUUGGGGGAGAAGGCGGGGCCAGAGGCCUGAAGUGUGGGGAGAACUUGGGGCUCCGCUCUGCUAUAUGAAAUAUGGGAGACGACAGACCGUUUGUGUGCAAUGCCCCGGGCUGUGGACAGAUCAGACUCCUACUCCAACUAGAUUCCUGAAGAACUGUGAGGAGGUGGGGCUCUUCAAUGAACUAGCUAGCUCCUUUGAACAUGAAUUCAAGAAAGCUGCAGAUGAGGAUGAAAAAAAGGCUGCUACAGGGCCCCUUGACAUGUCUCUGCCUUCCACACCAGACAUUAAAAUCAAAGAAGAGGAGCCAGUGGAGGUAGACUCAUCCCCACCUGACAGUCCUGCCUCCAGCCCCUGCUCCCCGCCACUCAAGGACAAGGAGGUUGCCCCAAAGCCUGUUGUGAUCUCUACCCCAACGCCUACCAUUGUACGCCCUGGGUCCCUGCCUCUCCACUUGGGCUAUGAUCCACUUCACCCAACCCUUCCCUCCCCAACCUCUGUCAUCACACAGGCUCCACCAUCCAACAGGCAACUGGGGUCCCCCACUGGCUCCCUUCCUCUUGUCAUGCAUCUUGCUAAUGGACAGACCAUGCCUGUGCUGCCAGGGCCUCCAGUACAGAUGCCUUCUGUUAUAUCGCUGGCCAGGCCUGUGUCUAUGGUGCCCAACAUUCCUGGUAUCCCUGGCCCACCAGUUAACAGCAGUGGUUCCAUUUCUCCCUCUGGCCACCCUAUGCCAUCAGAAGCCAAGAUGAGACUAAAAGCCACCCUAACCCACCAAGUUUCCUCAAUUAAUGGUGGUUGUGGAAUGGUGGCGGGUACAGCCAGCACCAUGGUGACAGCCCGUCCUGAGCAGAGCCAGAUCCUCAUCCAGCACCCUGAUGCCCCAUCCCCUGCCCAGCCACAGGUCUCACCAGCCCAGCCCACUCCUAGUACAGGAGGGCGACGGCGGCGCACAGUGGAUGAAGAUCCAGAUGAGCGGCGGCAGCGCUUUCUGGAACGCAACCGGGCUGCCGCCUCUCGCUGCCGUCAAAAGCGGAAGCUAUGGGUGUCCUCCCUAGAGAAGAAGGCAGAGGAACUCACGUCUCAGAACAUUCAGCUGAGUAAUGAAGUCACGUUACUUCGCAAUGAGGUGGCUCAGUUGAAACAGCUACUGUUAGCUCAUAAAGACUGCCCAGUCACUGCACUACAGAAAAAGACCCAAGGCUAUUUAGAAAGCCCCAAGGAAAGCUCGGAGCCGACGGGUUCUCCAGCCCCUGUGAUUCAGCACAGCUCAGCAACAGCACCUAGCAAUGGCCUCAGUGUUCGCUCUGCAGCUGAAGCUGUGGCCACCUCAGUCCUCACUCAGAUGGCCAGCCAAAGGACAGAACUGAGCAUGCCAAUACAGUCGCAUGUGAUUAUGACGCCACAGUCCCAGUCUGCAGGCAGAUGAUGCCUCCCCUGGUGGAGAGGUCCCCAGCCAGAGCUCGCCCGUUCAAGAACCAAGAGAGAUGUCAUCUUAUCCCCUCUCAUCUGCCUUGGACAUGGCAAUAUGGGGAAAAAACUGUGUGUUAGCCAGUGCUGAACAAGCCACACCUGGUGAAGAGAAAGGAGAGAAAACAUGGUUUUCUCAUCCUCUGCCACCCGGGACCCAACAGGAACAGCCCCUGAGGUGACUCAGAUUAGCAAAUGGCAUGGCAGAUGGUCAGGAUGCAGGUUUCCACCUCCAGGGACUCCACUUGCCUUUAAAAUUCACAGCCAUAACUUGUGCUCAGGACCCUUCUUUCAGACGGCUGCUCCCUGGGCUUUUCUCUUGCUUUAGUUUUGUUUCAUUUUUUAUUUUCUUGAUUUCCCACUAGCAGCCUUGCCCUUAAGCUUGACUGAGUUUAUGGCUCCUAAGGAGCCUUCAUAAGACCCUUCACUAUUUUUCUUCCCCUUCAGUCAAGUGUGUUUCAAGUGAAGAAUCCACUUGUUAGUGCACACAGGCCCUGCCUCACUGCUGGGCCCUGGAGGAGGCUGAGUCCUGCCCACCUGUCCCUGAGUAGGUUAGCUAAUUCACACACAGGGUCUCAGUCUCUUAACCCCCAUUCUGAUUCUCAUUUUCAUCAAUGGGAAGUUAGCAUUGGGUACCUAAAUGGGGGCAUUGACACAGUCUCAGUAGUAAAGCAGCAGUGACAUGAGGAAGGGGCAGGAUGAGCCUCCAGACAGCUCUUCAGUUGGUCCUCAGUCUCACUAAGAAGGCAGAACAAUUGCUUACCAUGAAGCCUCCCUUAUAGUCAAGGGGAGCAUCAUUGACCUUAUUGCUCCAGCUGUGUGGCCACUCUCCCUUGCUCUUUGCCUUCCAGACUCAUCUGGACCAGAAUCAGAUAUCAUGGAGGGUAUCAUUUAGCCCUUGUUAAGGGCCAUGGCCUUUCUAGGGACCUAAGAAAGACACUUCUGAAAGGCACUGGGAGUGUGGACCCUUGGGGCUCUUCAAGUGAACACAGGAUGCAGGCCUCUCACUUCACUCCAAAGACAGCUGUUGGAUACCCAGGGCGAUAGAGAAAGGGGCCAGAACCAGGUCUGGUGUGCUGACUUCUGCCCCAUUCCCUUGAAAAUGUGCUUAGACUUGAAAAACCUAAGAAAGCUUCCCCUACAACUAGCAGAAAUGGGAAGAGUAGGUAGGACCUUUUUUACGUACUCUUUCCCUGUUGGUUAUAUACCCCAAAUCUGGCUUGCUUCAGCCUCCACUCCUCUUCUUGGCCCUAAGACUAGACCAAAAUCUUCCGGUGGUGAUAAAGAAGGUGACCUAACAAUCUCACCUUGCUGCCUUCCUUUGCGUCGUGGUGGUGUUCUUGGCUCCUUUCCUGAUUCACUGCCCUCCAGCACCACACAUCCUGAUAGAUGGGGUGCUUAGUCAUAACCAUGCCGUCUACAGUCUGAACCACCAAGCAGACAUCAGGAUCCUCCUCUGGCUUCUGAGGCUCCCAUGUUCCACACUGAGAGGCUCCUUUAAAGGUGCUAGCCCUGAGACAGCUCUCCCCCCAUAGUUCUCCCUUUCCCUCAUAACUUCCUUUCCAUCCCCAAAUCAUUAUUUUCCAUUAAUAUUGUACAUUGUAUACACAGGAAGGAAAUGUAUUUUUUUAUUUCAUAACCAAUCUGUUUAGAAUCCAGCCCUCCCAGCUAUAUCACAUAUGCCUUUGUUGAUGUGCUCUUCGUGCUUUCUUUAGACUUGACAGGGGCGGAGGGAGGAACAAGACAAGUGAGGAUCCUCGACCUCCACACCCUAAUCAUCCCCUCAGAGUGCGGAACUGAUUCUCUGUUUCUGUUUACAACACACACGUGCACACGGACAUAAAUCCCUCUCCCCCUCCCCUAGGGUGCCAGCCCAGCAGGAAUGAGCAUAGGUGGCUGCUGGCCACCAUUCCCACCCUCUGUAGCAGUUCAUUCAUCUCUCUGGGAAAAGAAUGAGAAAAGGCUGAGGAGAGUAGGGAAGGUUAAUGCAGCUUAUGUCCUUUGUAGAGGCAAGUUUGUGUUGUAGCUGCUAGGGUUUGUUUUUUAAUGGGGGCUGGUAGCACCGAGAUAUCUUACCAGCAUUAGCUACUACUGGUGAGUGAGGUUUUAGCGAUAAGAAAUGGCUAUGAGCACUAGUUUCAUUGACUUUCCCUUAGGGCAGCUGUUUUCAGAACAUGGUCCAGGACUAGCAACACCAGCAGCACUGGGGUCUGGGAAAUUGUGAGAAAUGCACAUUUGGGCCCCACCCCUGACCCAUCGAAUCAGAAAUUCUGGGAUUGGGCUCUAACAAGCACCCCGAGUGAUUCUAUGCACACUAACAUUUGAGAACCAUCGCCCUAGGGGCAAGCUGGGAAGUUCUUGUAGGGUUUCAAGACUCUUUUAAGUACCAUCGUCUGCCUUAGCGCUAACAUAUGUAUUUUUCCAUUUCCUCCAGUCCCUCUCUCCAUUCCCAUUAAAACAACAAUCACAUCAUUCAUCUCAAAAUCUAGGUUUGUCUUCAACCUACUUAUCCCUAAAACCCUGCAUCGUUCUGGACAGGUGUUGUCCCAUAUUCCCUUGCAAACUGGUCACUCCACACUCUGUUACAGGAAGGACCAGCUGGAGUUUUAGCUGUUGUGUUCACACACACAUACACACACACACACACCCCUUCAGGCAGGGAGACAAGCCUCCAGCCCCAGCAGUGGAGGCUGCAGCCUCCUGAUAUAGUACUUAUUGAAAAGAAAGCAGUGUGUAUCUGUGGUUAUAUCUCUGCUCAUCUGUAUAUCUUUGACAUGUAGCAAAACCUCUCUAUCUCAUCAAGGAACUGCAUUGUGGGUCUGAGUCCCCCAGUCCCCAGUGGCAGACUUUGACAGAUGGGAGCGUGCAGUGCUACAGGCUAUUUUGUUACAAACCAUCGUCUCCCUUUCCCCUCCACCCCAUUCAGCAUGACCCCUGUGAGCAGGCUCACAAUCUCCCGGGACGGGGCUGAGGCAGAGGCUUUGCUCUGUUCUCCCUAACCGUUCCUUCUUCCUUCCCCCUUGCCACUUAGCAGUUAUCCCCACAGCCAUGCCUUCUCCCUCUUUCCCUUGCCCUGACAUAUAUUGUGCCUUAUUUAUGCUGCAAAUAUAACAUUAAACUAUUGAGAGAACCACU